CAAGCAUCAGCAGUGUGUGAUACAAUAGUGCUUUGAAAACUGCGUCGGAGCCUCGGUAUCAUCCGUCCCAUCACUAGAAAACAGCAACGAUUUAAGAUGACUGGAGCAAAAGACAGAAUGAGAGAAAAAAAGAUGAAGAAUCAGCCGAGAAACGUAAUUUACACGAGCUCAGGUCGCGGUACCGGGAGAGGUCAGAGGUCAUCAGCCUGGGGGUCACAGUUACAGUCAAGAUCUGCCCAAAUACAUCACAGCCUCGUCCUUCGCUAAAGCGCGCGCCGCUGAAGUGAACGCUGUGCUGAAGGCCGUCAGUAACGCUGCAGGCAGCUGCCACAUCUCCACCGCUCUGCUGAAGCACAUGCGCAGACGAGCCCUGAGCCCCAGCACCAAGAGACUGCUGAGCCUGGUGCUGAGAAACCCACCGGAGUCCAGCAGAACCUGACUGAACACACGACACAGGCUCGCAUCCAUCAC